rnacentral:tRNA from 1 species
UAGAUGGAUGCUCGCUGGAUUGGGCGUUUAGCUGUUAACUAAAUUUGAAGGAUCGAGCCUUCCCAUCUAG